rnacentral:snRNA from 1 species
UUGCUUUGGCAGCACAUAUACUAAAAUUGGAAUGCUACAGAGAAAAUUAGCACGGCCCCUGUACUAGGAUGACAUGCAAAUUUGCGAAGCGUUCCAUAUUUUU